rnacentral:rRNA from 1 species
UACAGAGGGGGCAAGCGUUGUUCGGAAUUACUGGGCGUAAAGGGCUCGUAGGCGGCCAACUAAGUCGGACGUGAAAUCCCUCGGCUUAACCGGGGAACUGCGUCCGAUACUGGAUGGCUCGAGUGUGGGAGAGGGAUGCGGAAUUCCAGGUGUAGCGGUGAAAUGCGUAGAUAAUCUGGAGGAACACCGGUGGCGAAGGCGGCCCGACUCGUGACCUGACGUGAGCGCAGCGUGGAGCGAAAAGCCGGGG